rnacentral:rRNA from 2 species
UCAAUAAGCGGAGGAAAAGAAACUAACAAGGAUUCCCCCAGUAACGGCGAGUGAAGCGGGAAGAGCUCAAGCUUAAAAUCUCCAUGUUUUACAUGGCGAAUUGUAGUCUAUUGAGGCUGUUGUCAGCAUAGCGAUCUGGGACAAGUCCCUUGGAAAAGGGCAGCAUUGAGGGUGAUACUCCCGUCUCUGCUCAGAUUGUCUGUGUGUACGAUACGCUUUCUUUGAGUCGAGUUGUUUGGGAAUACAGCUCAAAGUAGGUGGUAAACACCAUCUAAAGCUAAAUAUUGGUGCGAGACCGAUAGCGAACAAGUACCGUGAGGGAAAGAUGAAAAGAACUUUGAAAAGAGAGUUAAAGAGUACCUGAAACUGUUGAAAGGGAACCGUAUCGUUUCCAGUGUUGUAUCCUGUGCAUAUUUCAUUAGCGGAGCAAUUUGCUGGUGCCCUGUGCAUGGGUGUGACGUCAGAGUCAGUUUGUAUGCUGCGGGAGAUGGUCAGUGAGGAGGUGCGUCACUUCGGUGAAAGUUAUAUCUCGCUGUCUAGUAGCCGUGGUUGAGACUGAGGUGCCUACAACAUGCCUUGGGGUUCAGUGUUGUCUCGUUUUGGUAACUGCUUGGAUAGCUUGCUAUGUCUGUGGUAUAUCUAGGCGAUUGAUGAUGUUGAUAACCUCUGCUGUUCGGGACUCUGGCGAAAUGGA